GGAGAACACUAAGGUGAGCGAGUGAACUAUUGUUAAGGAACUCUGCAAAAUGAGUCCGUAACUUCGGAAGAAGGACUGCUGGUUUUAUACCAGCCGCAGCAAAUAGGCCCAAACAACUGUUUAUCAAAAACACAGGUUUCUGCAAAAUCGUAAGAUGAAGUAUAGGGGCUGACGCCUGCCCAGUGCUGGAAGGUUAAAAGGAGGACUUAGCUUCGGCGAAGGUCUUAAUUGAAGCCCCAGUGAACGGCGGCCGUAACUAUAACGGUCCUAAGGUAGCGAAAUUCCUUGUCGGGUAAGUUCCGACCCGCAUGAAAGGCGUAAUGAUUUGGGCGCUGUCUCAACAAUAGACUCGGUGAAAUUUAAAUUCCAGUGAAGAUGCUGGGUACCCGCGACAGGACGGAAAGACCCCGUGGAGCUUUACUG
rnacentral:rRNA from 1 species